rnacentral:misc_RNA from 1 species
AAGGAGUCUAACAUAUGCGCAAGUCUUUGGGUGGCAAGCCCUUGGGCCCAAUGAAAGUGAAAUAGGUUUAGUUUUAUUACAACAACCGGCCCGGGACUAUGGGUUUUAAUCCUUGUUAUGAGUUUACGUUCGAGCGUACCUGUUGGGACCCGAAAGAUGGUGAACUAUGCCUGAGCAGGGUGAAGCCAGAGGAAAACCUGGUGGAGGAUCGUAGAUGUUUUGACGUGCAAAUCGAUCGUCGGAUUUGGGUAUAGGGGCGAAAGACUAAUCGAACCAUCUAGUAGCUGGUUCCCAC